CGCUUUGCACGGUGUUUGCGCGCGGGUAAAUCAUGGCCACCAGGAGCUGAAAUUCGAAUUUUUGUUGCUCAGACCUAGAACAUCUUGCACUUUGAAGCUGCGAGUACUGCCUUCAGACUUUGUUCUGGAUAGGAAUAUUUUUUCGCUCUCCCAGCAUGGCAACAGAUGGCAGGCUUGUAAACAUGGCUUCCCACUUGAUGAAGGAACUGCAAGAAUUUUACGUACGGGUAGAUUCUCAAAGCGGUGAGUUGGAGGUCAAACUUUAAAGUCCUUGCACAUUAAUC